GCCUGGUCACAUAGCUGCUUAUUCUUGGAGGAGUGUAGUGGAAACAUAGCAGCAGUGCUGCUUGAAAAAGAAGACAGAAUGUGGGAGAAUUGAAUUAUAUCAUCAGAAACUGAAAAUUCCUGUAAUGCUAUGAAGUACUUCCUAGAAAUAAAGCUAUGAAGAAGUGUG